AGGUCCAGCCUGCCCAGUGACUUAGGUUCAACGGCCGCGGUACUCUAACCGUGCAAAGGUAGCACAAUCACUUGUUCUUUAAAUGAGGACUAGAAUCAACGGCACCACGAAGAUCAUACUGUCUCCCCCCUCCAAUCAGUGAAACUGAUCUUCCCGUGAAGAAGCGGGAAUAUAAAUAUAAGACGAGAAGACCCCAUGGAGCUUUAAACCCAACAGCACCCAUUUUUUAUUACCCUCACAUUCGCUAGGCCCUGACUGUUUGGUUUUAGGUUGGGGUGACCACGGAGUAAAAAACAACCUCCAUGAAAAAAGAACUAAAAAUCCUUAUCUAAGAAGAACACUUCAAAGAAUUAACAAAUUAAUUUUUAAUGAUCCGUUAUACGAUCAACGAACCAAGUUACCCUGGGGAUAACAGCGCAAUCCACCUUAAGAGCCCAUAUCGACAGGUGGGUUUACGACCUCGAUGUUGGAUCAGGGUAUCCCAGUGGUGCAGCAGCUACUAAGGGUUCGUUUGUU
rnacentral:rRNA from 1 species